UUCCCCUAGUAACUGCGAGUGAAGCGGGAAAAGCUCAAAUUUAAAAUCUGGCAGUCUUUGGCUGUCCGAGUUGUAAUCUAGAGAAGUAUUAUCCGCGCUGGACCGUGUACAAGUCUCCUGGAAUGGAGCGUCAUAGAGGGUGAGAAUCCCGUCUUUGACACGGACUGCCAGGGCUUUGUGAUAUGCUCUCAAAGAGUCGAGUUGUUUGGGAAUGCAGCUCAAAAUGGGUGGUAAAUUCCAUCUAAAGCUAAAUAUUGGCGAGAGACCGAUAGCGAACAAGUACCGUGAGGGAAAGAUGAAAAGAACUUUGGAAAGAGAGUUAAACAGUACGUGAAAUUGCUGAAAGGGAAACGCUUGAAGUCAGUCGCGUUGGCCAGGGAUCAACCUUGCUUUUUUGCUUGGCUUACUUUCUGGUCGAUGGGUCAGCAUCAAUUUUGACCGGUGGAAAAAGUUCAAAGGAAUGUGGCAUCUUCGGAUGUGUUAUAGCCUUUGUUCACAUACAUUGGUUGGGAUUGAGGAACUCAGCACGCCGCAAGGCCGGGUUUUUAACCACGUACGUGCUUAGGAUGCUGGCAUAAUGGCUUUAAUCGACCCGUCUUGAAACACGGACCAAGGAGUCUAACAUGCCUGCGAGUAUUUGGGUGAAAAACCCGAGUGCGUAAUGAAAGUGAAAGUUGAGAUCCCUGUCGUGGGGAGCAUUGACGCCCGGAUCUGACCUUUUGUGACGAUUCUGCGGUAGAGCAUGUAUGUUGGGACCCGAAAGAUGGUGAACUAUGCCUGAAUAGGGUGAAGCCAGAGGAAACUCUGGUGGAGGCUCGUAGCGAUUCUGACGUGCAAAUCGAUCGUCAAAUUUGGGUAUAGGGGCGAAAGACUAAUC
rnacentral:rRNA from 1 species